GCAGAACCGGCCAAGCGACCCGGGCGCGGCGCGGGGAGGCUGAAGGGACGCUCGGGUAGGCAAGCCCUGCUGGUUUACCGUGUCUUCAGGAACGAAGCUAAACGCACCACCAAGGUCCUGCACGGGCUGCUGCACAUCUUUGCGCUCGUCAUCGCCCUGGUUGGCUUGGUGGCGGUGUUCGACUACCACAGGAAGAAGGGCUACGCUGACCUGUACAGCCUACACAGCUGGUGCGGGAUCCUUGUCUUUGUCCUGUACUUUGUGCAGUGGCUGGUGGGCUUCAGCUUCUUCCUGUUCCCCGGAGCUUCAUUCUCCCUGCGGAGCCGCUACCGCCCACAGCACAUCUUCUUUGGUGCUACCAUCUUCCUCCUUUCCGUGGGCACCGCCCUGCUGGGCCUGAAGGAGGCACUGCUGUUCAACCUCGGGGGCAAGUAUAGCGCAUUUGAGCCCGAGGGUGUCCUGGCCAACGUGCUGGGCCUGCUGCUGGCCUGCUUCGGUGGGGCGGUGCUCUACAUCUUGACCCGGGCCGACUGGAAGCGGCC
rnacentral:lncRNA from 1 species